rnacentral:rRNA from 12 species
AAAGACAACCACACCAUCCUGUGAGUGCCCAAUCCUGUCCAAUCUCAGAAGCUAAGCAUGGCCAGGCCUAGUUGGUAUUUGAAUGGGAGACCACCUUGGAAGACCAGGGGCCAUUA